UCCGUAGGUGAACCUGCGGAGGGAUCAUUACACAAAUAUGAAGGCGGGCUGGAACCUCUCGGGGUUACAGCCUUGCUGAAUUAUUCACCCUUGUCUUUUGCGUACUUCUUGUUCCCUUGGUGGGUUCGCCCACCACUAGGACAAACAUAAACCUUUUGUAAUUGCAAUCAGCGUCAGUAACAAAUUAAUAAUUACAACUUUCAACAACGGAUCUCUUGGUUCUGGCAUCGAUGAAGAACGCAGCGAAAUGCGAUAAGUAGUGUGAAUUGCAGAAUUCAGUGAAUCAUCGAAUCUUUGAACGCACAUUGCGCCCUUUGGUAUUCCAAAGGGCAUGCCUGUUCGAGCGUCAUUUGUACCCUCAAGCUUUGCUUGGUGUUGGGCGUCUUGUCUCUAGCUUUGCUGGAGACUCGCCUUAAAGUAAUUGGCAGCCGGCCUACUGGUUUCGGAGCGCAGCACAAGUCNCNCUCUCUAUCAGCAAAGGUCUAGCAUCCAUUAAGCCUUUUUUUUCAACUUUUGACCUCGGAUCAGGUAGGGAUACCCGCUGAACUUAAGCAUAUCAAUAAGCGGAGGA
rnacentral:rRNA from 1 species